AUCUAUACGGUGAAACUGCGAAUGGCUCAUUAAAUCAGUUAUCGUUUAUUUGAUAGUACCUUACUACUUGGAUAACCGUGGUAAUUCUAGAGCUAAUACAUGCUGAAAACCCCGACUUCGGGAGGGGUGUAUUUAUUAGAUAAAAAACCAACGCCCUUCGGGGCUUCUUGGUGAUUCAUGAUAACUUAACGAAUCGCAUGGCCUUGCGCCGGCGAUGGUUCAUUCAAAUUUCUGCCCUAUCAACUUUCGAUGGUAGGAUAGUGGCCUACCAUGGUAUCAACGGGUAACGGGGAAUUAGGGUUCUAUUCCGGAGAGGGAGCCUGAGAAACGGCUACCACAUCCAAGGAAGGCAGCAGGCGCGCAAAUUACCCAAUCCCGACACGGGGAGGUAGUGACAAUAAAUACUGAUACAGGGCUCUUUUGGGUCUUGUAAUUGGAAUGAGUACAAUUUAAAUCCCUUAACGAGGAACAAUUGGAGGGCAAGUCUGGUGCCAGCAGCCGCGGUAAUUCCAGCUCCAAUAGCGUAUAUUAAAGUUGUUGCAGUUAAAAAGCUCGUAGUUGAACCUUGGGCCUGGCUGGCCGGUCCGCCUCACCGCGUGCACUGGUCCGGCCGGGCCUUUCCUUCUGGGGAGCCGCAUGCCCUUCACUGGGUGUGUCGGGGAACCAGGACUUUUACUUUGAAAAAAUUAGAGUGUUCAAAGCAGGCCUUUGCUCGGAUACAUUAGCAUGGAAUAAUAGAAUAGGACGUGCGGUCCUAUUUUGUUGGUUUCUAGGACCGCCGUAAUGAUUAAUAGGGAUAGUCGGGGGCAUCAGUAUUCAAUUGUCAGAGGUGAAAUUCUUGGAUUUAUUGAAGACUAACUACUGCGAAAGCAUUUGCCAAGGAUGUUUUCAUUAAUCAGUGAACGAAAGUUAGGGGAUCGAAGACGAUCAGAUACCGUCGUAGUCUUAACCGUAAACUAUGCCGACUAGGGAUCGGGCGAUGUUAUCAUUUUGACUCGCUCGGCACCUUACGAGAAAUCAAAGUCU
rnacentral:rRNA from 1 species